UAGGGAAUUUUGCGCAAUGGGGGAAACCCUGACGCAGCAACGCCGCGUGAUUGAUUAAGCCCUUCGGGGUGUAAAGAUCUGUCAGUGGGGACGAAACUUGACGGUACCCACAGAGGAAGCAUCGGCUAACUCCGUGCCAGCAGCCGCGGUAAUACGGGGGAUGCAAGCGUUGUCCGGAAUCAUUGGGCGUAAAGAGUUCGUAGGUGGUUUGUUAAGUUUGGUGUUAAAUGCAGAGGCUCAACUUCUGUUCGGCAUCGGAUACUGGCAGACUAGAAUGCGGUAGAGGUAAAGGGAAUUCCUGGUGUAGCGGUGAAAUGCGUAGAUAUCAGGAGGAACAUCGGUGGCGUAAGCGCUUUACUGGGCCGUAAUUGACACUGAGGAACGAAAGCCAGGGUAGCAAAUGGGA
rnacentral:rRNA from 1 species